UGGCCCAAUAAGAUAAAAACCAGAUAUUUAGAACCAAAGUCUCUUCCGUUUAUUAUCAUCCUCUUCAAUGGUUGAUUUAGGGUUUGACUUGCUUCAGUCUCUUCUGAGAAAUAUAACGCCGUCACAGAUUUUAACAACUUCUCUAAGAUGUAUGCCUCUGAUGCUCCAGUUUCUCAAACCGCCGUUAGCCACACAACGUUUGACGCCCGCCUCCUUAGCUUCUGGGAUUUAUGAGAAUCACUAUCCUCUUCCUAGAUGAAAAGAACUGUGAUCGUCUACUAAUCUUUGUGGGACGAGGCUGCCUCAAAGACUUCACCACCAAUUUGGGAGGUACAUGAGGUUUUCCCAUGUGUUGAUAUGGAAGGGAUUAAGAAAAAGGAAAUUGUGUCAAUUGGAGAUCUAAAUAUGUUUCUCUAACUCCAACGAGUAGGUAUAAGCCAACCUUUAAUAAUAUAUAUUUUUAUUAUAACUUAAAAUAGCAAAUUUAUUUUCUUUGUUUAGACAUAGGAGCUGAUUUCCUCUGUAAAGUUCGGAUUGUUUGCGUCUUCUAACAAAAUGGAUGAUCUUUUUGUCUCAUACACCGGAUCCAAGAGGAAGUUGGUGUCCCGACGUUUCAAGAGGUUAUGAUAGGUUACUCCGAUUCAGGGAAAGACGCUGGGAGUCACUCAGCUGCUUGGGAGCUAUACAAAGCUCAAGAAGAGCUUGUGAAGGUCGCUAAGCAAUAUGGAGUGAAGCCAACUAUGUUUCAUGGCCGUGGUGGCAUAGUUAGAAGAGGAGGUGGUCCCACUCAUCAUGCUAUAUUGUCUCAGCCACCGGACACAGUUAAUGGCUCACUCCUGAGUGACAGUUGAUCGUGAAGUCAUUGAGCAGUCAUUGUAUGACAAACUUCUUGUCUCGAAAGAUUUAUGGGCCUUUGGAGAGAAACUCAGAACCAACUUUGAAGAAACCAAGAGCCUCGUGCUCCAGACUCUUGGACACAAAGAUCUUCUUGAAGGGUAUUGCCGCAGGAUUGCAAAACACCGGUUAAAUGAGUGGGUCUCUGAGAGAAAGCAGACUUGAGUCUCUUUUCUGUCUUCCCUUUUAUAGAAUAAUCUCUUUUUUUUUGAAUCGAAAAUAACAACUACGUUUAGAUUACAGUAAUAUUUUAUGUAUCCACACCGUUGAGAAAAAGUUUUAUUCUUGUCGUUGUAUUAAACUAAAUACUGCUCUGUUUCUGAGACA